rnacentral:rRNA from 1 species
UGUAAGCGUAUACCAAAGUUGUUGCAGUUAAAACGCUCGUAGUCGGAAUUUGGCAGUUCCGGAUGUGUGCACGUCGUGUGCGCACUUCGCGGGGAUUGCUUUUGUGGUCUUGCGUAGGAUGAGGCACUUUUAUUAGUGAACGUCCUCACGCAACCACUUUUUACUGUGAGAAAAUCAGAGUGCUCAAAGCAGGCAUUUGCCGUGAAUGUAUUAGCAUGGAAUAAUAGAAUAGGACUUGGUCCUAUUUUGUUGGUUUGUUGGGACUGAGUAAUGAUUAAGAGGGACAGUUGGGGGCAUUUGUAUUUCGGUGCUAGAGGUGAAAUUCUUAGAUUGCCGAAAGACAAACUGCUGCGAAAGCGUCUGCCAAGGAUGUUUUCAUUGA